ensembl:snRNA U6 U6 spliceosomal RNA
GUGCUCACUUCAGUAGCACAUAUACUAAAAUUGAAAUGAUAAAGAGAAGAUUAGCAUGACCCCUACACAAGGAUGACACACAAAUUUGUGAAGCAUGCUAUCUUUUA